rnacentral:rRNA from 1 species
UAGUCAUAUGCUUGUCUCAAAGACUAAGCCAUGCAUGUCUAAGUAUAAACAAUUUUAUACUGCGAAACUGCGAACGGCUCAUUAUAUCAGUUAUAAUCUACUUGAUCGUAUCCUCUUACUUGGAUAACCGUAGUAAUUCUAGAGCUAAUACAUGCAAAGAAUCCCGACUGGUGACGGAAGGGAUGUAUUUAUUAGGUCCAAAAUCAAUACUAGCCAUUCGGCUAGGAAAAAUUGAUGAUUCAUAAUAACUAAACGAAGCGCAGGGCUUGCCCCGGCG